rnacentral:lncRNA from 10 species
CAGAAGUUUUAAUUUAUUGGCUAAUUCAAAAGCAUAAUAAGAAACUUGUUAUAAAAUUAUCAGUUCAAGAGGGAUCAGAAAUCAAAAUCAAAUCUAUUUUACUGUUUGUUUGCAAAGCACUGUUCUAGAACACACAGAGUGGGCCAAAUCUAUUCACACAAGUCUUAACAUUAGAGGAAGAAGUCAGAAGAAUGUGCAAAUAUGACAUCAGAAGGACUAGACACAUCUUUGCUGGAUUUGAAGAUGGAGGAAGAAGACUGGGAAUGGACCUCAGCUAAGAGCCAAGAAAAAAUAAAGAUAUUAAGGAACUACAAGGAACUGAAUUCUGCCAACAAGAUCGAUUAACAGGAAACAUUCUUUCCCAGAUUUUCCAAAAAGGAAUAUAGUGUGCUGACAACUUAGUUUUAUUGCAGUGAGCCCCAUGCUGAACUGCUGACCCACAGAAUUAUAAAAUAAUGAAUGUUUUAAUUUAUAUUAAUAUUAUUAUUUGUUUUAAGCCACUAAGUUUACAGUAAUUUGUUACAGUAGCAAUGGAACUGUCACUUUUAUAACAGCAUCCAGACUUCAUCAUUCUUAUUUCAUUUAAUAAAGCCACUGGCUCACCCUGCAAAUUUACAUAAGCCACAUAAGUUUUCCAAACUUGUUUCUGCACCUAUACAAUCUAUACAAUAAUAUUAACUAUUCAUACAAUUAAUAGGAGGAUUAAGUGAGAAGAUACAUAAAAAUAGCUUAGCAUAGUGCCUGUCACAUACACUCAAUUCAUCUACAAUUUAAUAUAAUUAAUUCAAAAAAAUCAGUAACAGUAAUAAAAUCAUGAGUUUUUUCCUAAUAUCUUUUCUCUUGCUAGCUAGUACUUAAAAGGGAAUAUUCUUUGUUCACUCAUCAAUUUUGGACUAAAUAUGUGUAACAGAGGUUGUCAUAUCUUUCCAAAACAUCCAUGUACUCCUUCUCCUACCAUAGUAGAAUUCCUAGCUGGUAGCAAGUUGUCCUUACUAAAGACUAUAUUUUCCAUUCUCUCUUGUAGCUAAGUAUGAGAAUGUUGUUAGAUUAUUGCAAAAAUAUGAUAUAAAUAGAAAUGUUUUGAAGCAACAUCAAGGAAUAUUUCUUAAGAGAUAGCUUACAUUUGUCCUUUGUUUUCCUUAUUUAUCACUUCCCCCAACCUGCUUCCUAGAAGGGUUAGACACCAUGUUGCAACCUAAGAUAAAGACCACAAAUUGGGAAUGGUAGGGUGGUGAGUUAGACUAUGACUCUGAGAAAUUUCUGGAUCAGAGACACCAUUAGUCUUGGACCAGAUACAUAUCUUGUUUAAGUCUCUGUUAAUGCGUUUUCUGUCACUGACAUCCAAACCUAAUCAUAAUUGAAAAGCCUGUGCAUCUCGGUUGUUUUAAUUAAGACCUUCUUUGCCCAGUCUCUCUUUUUCCUCCCCUAUGCCGGCCCCAGAAAGACUGUAUUUGGUUGUAUAAAGUACAUUAAUUGCCAUAAUUUAUUUGAAUUCCUUACUAUUUAUGUCAAAUUAUUAUUCAACACAGCUCUGAUUAUGCAUAUGAUUCCGGUAUAAUCAUAAUACUGAGAUUAAAAUGGUGGGUAUACCCAAUGGUUAGUAGUGGGAACAGUAGUGGAAAAAAUACAAACAAAAAUGCUUUGCCAUUUGCAUAUUUUGCCUACUUUGUUGGUAAGAACCAGAGACAUUCCUAGAAAGAGCUAAAACACAUGGAAAUAAAC